GGCAACACCAGAUCCUUAACCUACUGAUCGAGGUCAGGGAUCGAACCCUCAACAUCGUGGUUCCUAGUUGGAUUUGUUUCUGCUGUGCCAUGAUGGGGACUCCAGGCUUUUGCAAUUUUAAGAUAAACUGAGUUUACAGUUGUCAACAAAUGUCGACAAUCACUGUUAGUUUAAAAGAAAAAAGCAAAAAUUUGCUACAUCCUCUCCUGCCAUUGUAGCAGGACCUAUAGAUAAUAAAGAACCAUCUGGGAUCCAUCUUUCAAUAUAUGUCUACAAAACCAGAAAAACAUGACCCCUUAUGAAAUCAAAACAAUUGCAGUUUCAUAAUCUUUAAAGAGACAGUCAGCAUAACCUAAAACAAGGGGAAGAUUCUGCCUUCACAUGUCAUAUAGAGUUUAGUAGCUCUUUUAAAAGAACAGACUUCUGGGUCAGAGACAUGUUCUGAUCUCAGAUCUGCUAUGUACUACCUUGUCAAUUUUGGACAAGUCCCUUAACUGCUCUAAGCUGUAGAUUUAUCUGUAAAAUGGGAACAACUACCUAGCUCACAGAGUUUUUGUAAGGAUAAAAUGAGAUAAUGUAUGUAAAUGUGUGACAAGCCUUUCUUUAUGUCCAGUGCUCUGAGAAGAUCUUAAUCCAUUUUCUUUCUUUCUUCUCCUUUUUUUUUUUCUUUUUAGGGUCACAUCCAAGGCGUGUGGAAGUUCGAAGGCUAGGGGUCCAAUCAACUACAGCUGCUGGCCUAUGCCACAGCCAAAGCAACACAGAAUCCAAGCCAUGUCUUCAACCUACACCACAGCUCACAGCAACAGCAGAUCCUUGACCCACUGAGCAAGGCCAGGCAGGGAUCAAACCCUUGUCCUCAUGGAUACUAGCUGGUUUCAUUUCCGCUGCACCACAAUGGGAACUCCCUUAAUCCAUUUUCAACCAAUAUUUUAAACAUUUAAGACAGUUCAGAAUCUUUCUAGGUACCCUUACAAUUACACUUUUCUUUUUUAAUUUUUCUCUUUUUUGGGGGGCAGGAGGGGCCGUCACCUAUUGCAUGUUUAACUUCCUGGACUAGGGAUUGAACUCAUGCUGCAGUUGUGGCUGAUGCCACAGCUUGGGCAAUACUAGAUCCCUAACCCCUGGGCCACGAGGGAACUUACAGAAUUUCUCCAUUUUUACUAACUGAGCCAUUCCUCUUUCUUUGUAUACAGUGAAUGCUUAAGCCUAGUGCCAUUUGGUUUGUUGUUGUUGUUGUUGUUGUUGUUUUUGUUGUUGUUGUUGUUUUUGGCUAUGCCUCUGGCAUGCACAUGUUCCCAGGCCAGGGAGGAAACCUGUACCACAGCUGUGACCAGAGUCACAGAAGUGACAGGCCAAAUCCUAACCUGCUGACCAGUGAGGGAACUCCACCAAGUCUGUGCUUUUUUUUUUUUUUUUGCUUCCUUGUCUUUUUAGGGUCGCACCUGCAGCAUAUGGAAGUUCCCAGGCUAGGGGUUCAAUUGGGGCUGUGGCCACUGGCCCAUGCCAGAGCCACAGCAACACGGGAUACAAGCCACAUCUGCAACCCACACCACAGCUCAUGGCAACGCCAGAUCCCUAACCCACUGAGCAAGGCCAGGGAUCGAACCCUUCCCAUUGUGGUUCAGCAGGUUAAGAACCCAACUAGUAUCCAUGAGGAUGUGGGUUGGAUCCCUGGCCUUGCUCAGUGGGUUUAGGAUCUGGCAUUGCCUGGGCUGUGGUGUAGGCUGGCAGCUGCAACUCCAAUUCAACCCCUAACCCAGGAACUUCCAUAUGCCUCAGCUGCAGGCCUAAAAAGAAGAAAAUAAAAUAAAAUUCUUCAAGGAGGUUUUGACAUUCAUACUUUUUGUCAUGCCAGCCAUUCUCACCUGCUGAUUCUGUGGAAACUCCCAUGAGUAAUGUCUCCUAGCCUUGACAAAACUUCCGUAAGAAAACAGGCAACUAGGAGCUUUCUUGUAGCACAGUGGGUUAAGGAUCCACAGUGCAGCAGCUUGGGUAUGGGUUCGAUCUCUGGCUUAGGAACUUCCACAUGCUGCGGGGUGGCCAACCCUUCCUGCCCCCCCAAACCAACUUUCUUGAAAUGUGUAUCACUAGAUUACUGUGUGUUGCCCACCCAUGUUCUUCUCAUCUGUUAGCUUCCUGUGCACUCACAUUUAUUCACUUACGUUUUUAGUAUCCUAAAUAUCCUGAAGAAUAUGAAGAGUCGGUAUUAUGUAGAAUUGUUUUUGUGUGGACUAGAAAUAUAUACUUCCCUUUUUAGUUGUGAGAAAAAUGUGAAAUUAGAAUCUUAUUCUAUGUAGCCUUGAUUAAAGUGAAAUAUGAAAAGCAAAAAAAAUCAUGCAUUGAGAGGAAAGUGUCUCCCUAGACUUAGAGAUAUUUUUCAUUGAUAGUUUAUACUGUGUUAGGUCUUGCUAGAAAGUGAGAAGAAAACUGAAACUAAAAAGAGCUUUAAAUAACUGAAUAAUUCCAGUGAAUAUGAAUCCCCUAAGACUCUUUCAUUUUAGUUCUGUAUCCUGAUAGAUUUACUUUUUAAAUUUUUUCCAUUCGAUAUAAAUAAAAUAGUAUGCUCAUAUUGUUAGAUGGUUCUUAGAAACUAGACUGUCUAUAGUCACACGUGAUAUAAAACUGGAGUCAAAAAACUUUUCUGCAGAAAAUAGUUAUAUAAUUCCUCCAAUAAAUAUCUAUUAUUUACUUGUUA
rnacentral:lncRNA from 1 species